UACGAAGGGGGCUAGCGUUGCUCGGAAUCACUGGGCGUAAAGCGCACGUAGGCGGAUUGCUAAGUCAGGGGUGAAAUCCUGGAGCUCAACUCCAGAACUGCCUUUGAUACUGGCGACCUUGAGUCCGGGAGAGGUGAGUGGAACUGCGAGUGUAGAGGUGAAAUUCGUAGAUAUUCGCAAGAACACCAGUGGCGAAGGCGGCUCACUGGCCCGAUAAUGACGCUGAGGCACGAAAGCGUGGGGAGCAAACAGG
rnacentral:rRNA from 1 species